AUUGAACGCUGGCGGCAGGCCUAACACAUGCAAGUCGAACGAGUGGCGCACGGGUGAGUCACGUCUGGGAAACUGCGCUAAGGAGGGGGAUAACUACUGGAAACGGUACUUAUUACCGCAUACCAUCGGAUGUUCCCAGAGGGGAUUAGCUAGUAGGUGGGGUAACGGCUAACCUAGGCGACGAUCCCUAGCUGGUCUGAGAGGGUGACAAGCCACACUGGGACUGAGACACGGUCCAGACUCCUACGGGAGGCAGCAGUGGGGAAGAUUGCACAAUGGGCGCAAGCCUGAUGCAGCCAUGCCGCGUGUAUGAAGAAGGCCUUCGGGUUGUAAAGUACUUUCAGCGGGGAGGCGUUACUCGCAGAAGAAGCACCGGCUAACUCCGUGCCAGCAGCCGCGGUAAUAC
rnacentral:rRNA from 1 species